rnacentral:misc_RNA from 1 species
AGUACAAGUCGUAACAAGGUAUCCGUAGGUGAACCUGCGGAUGGAUCAUUAAAAGAUUAUUAUUGAAGGUAGUGUGAACUGGUUAUUGUUUGUUGACAAAUGGGGUUAUGGCCUUUUGUGGUUCAAAACAAAUCAUUUGUCAACUAGUAUACUUUUACUACUAAAUUCAAAUGUGUCAUUUGUACACAAACAAAAGUUAUACAACUUUUAGCAAUGGAUCUCUUGGCUCUC